GACGAACGCUGGCGGCGUGCUUAACACAUGCAAGUCGAACGGACAGGCCCGGCGUUUGUUGGGUGCUCGUGUGGCGAACGGGUGAGUAACACGUGAGUAAACUGCCCUUGACUUUGGGAUAACUUCAGGAAAAUGCGGCUCAUAUCGGAUAGGAGCUCCUGCUGCGUGUUGGUGGUUGGAGAGUUUCGGCGUUUGGGGAUGUACUUGCGGCUUAUCAGCUGGUUGGUGGGGUAGUGGCUUACAAGGGCUUUGACGGGUAGCCGGCCUGAGAGGGAGACCGGCCACAUUGGGACUGGGAUAGGGCCCAGAGGCAUACGGGCGGCAGCAGUGGGGAAUAGUGCAAAAUGCGCGGAAGCCUGAUGGAGCAACGCCGGGUGCGGGAAGUCGGCUUUCGGGUAGGAACAAGCUUUCGCGUGUGACGACGCGUGAGUGACGGUAAUGGGUAAAGAAGCACCGGCUACCUACGG
rnacentral:rRNA from 1 species